rnacentral:rRNA from 1 species
AGUGAACGCUGGCGGUAGGCCUAACACAUGCAAGUCGAACGGCAGCACAGUAAGAGCUUGCUCUUACGGGUGGCGAGUGGCGGACGGGUGAGGAAUACAUCGGAAUCUACUUUUUCGUGGGGGCUAACGUAGGGAAACUUACGCUAAUACCGCAUACGACCUACGGGUGAAAGCAGGGGAUCUUCGGACCUUGCGCGAUUGAAUGAGCCGAUGUCGGAUUAGCUAGUUGGCGGGGUAAAGGCCCACCAAGGCGACGAUCCGUAGCUGGUCUGAGAGGAUGAUCAGCCACACUUGAUCGUAGACAGGGUCCAGACUCCGACGGGAGGCAGCAGUGGGGAAUAUUAGACAAUGGGCGCAAGCCUGAUCCAGCCAUGCCGCGUGGGUGAAGGAGGCCUUCGGGUUGUAAAGCCCUUUUGUUGGGAAAGAAAAGCAGCAGGUUAAUACCCCGCUGUUCUGACGGUACCCAAAGAAUAAGCACCGGCUAACUUCGUG